UGGGGAAUUUUGGACAAUGGGCGCAAGCCUGAUCCAGCAAUGCCGCGUGCAGGAUGAAGGCCUUCGGGUUGUAAACUGCUUUUGUACGGAACGAAAAGCCUCUCUCUAAUACAGGGGGUGAUGACGGUACCGUAAGAAUAAGCACCGGCUAACUACGUGCCAGCAGCCGCGGUAAUACGUAGGGUGCAAGCGUUAAUCGGAAUUACUGGGCGUAAAGCGUGCGCAGGCGGUUUUGUAAGACAGUGGUGAAAUCCCCGGGCUCAACCUGGGAACUGCCAUUGUGACUGCAAGGCUGGAGUGCGGCAGAGGGGGAUGGAAUUCCGCGUGUAGCAGUGAAAUGCGUAGAUAUGCGGAGGAACACCGAUGGCGAAGGCAAUCCCCUGGGCCUGCACUGACGCUCAUGCACGAAAGCGUGGGGAGCAAACAGGAUUAGAUACCCUGGUAGUCCACGCCCUAAACGAUGUCAACUGGUUGUUGGGGAUUUAUUUCUUCAGUAACGAAGCUAACGCGUGAAGUUGACCGCCUGGGGGAGUACGGCCNCAAGGUUAAAAACUCAAAAGGAAUUGACGGGGUCAUAGCUGUUUCCU
rnacentral:rRNA from 1 species